AAUCGGCAAAACUUUUAACAUGUGAAAAGGAAAGAAUAUGCAUUCCUGCUCCAACCCCCUGCCUCCCUCCGCAGCAGCAGAGAUGACAAAUGAUCUUUCUGGCAACAACAUCAACUGCCUACAUUGGAAAUAAACAUCUUUCCUCAGGUAGCUGUUCAAAUCUGAUCCUAAUUAUUCAGUAGAUGUUUUCAUAAAAAGAGAGAGGCUUCUCUGAGAAAGAAAAGCUCAGAUAUAAGAGGUUUUACCUGGUGAAAAGAAUCUAGGAAAAAGCUGAAUUUCAUAUGGUGAAGGAUCACAGAAUGCAAAUACAAGGACCUAGCGCAUUUUUGAUGCUGUCCUUGAAAGAGGUGUGAUCAGCAAACAGGA
rnacentral:lncRNA from 1 species